UGGAUCGAGGAUUCGUCCAAGUGAAGUUGGGGAAAGUGGCGGACGGGUGAGUAACGCGUGAGCAAUCUGCCUUGGAGUGGGGAAUAACGGCUGGAAACAGCCGCUAAUACCGCAUGAAACAGUUGAGAGGCAUCUCUCUGACUGUCAAAGAUUUAUCGCUCUGAGAUGAGCUCGCGUCUGAUUAGCUAGUUGGCGGGGC
rnacentral:rRNA from 15 species